rnacentral:rRNA from 1 species
GUGGGGAAUAUUGCGCAAUGGGGGAAACCCUGACGCAGCGACGCCGCGUGGGUGAUGAAGGCCUUCGGGUCGUAAAGCCCUGUCGGAGGGGAAGAAGGACUACGGUGCAAAUAGUUCCGCGGUCUGACGGUACCCUUAGAGGAAGCACCGGCUAACUCCGUGCCAGCAGCCGCGGUAAUACGGAGGGUGCAAGCGUUGCUCGGAAUUACUGGGCGUAAAGCGCGUGUAGGCGGCCUUGUAUGUCUGGUGUGAAAGCCCCGGGCUCACCCCGGGAAGUGCACUGGAAACUGCAAGGCUAGAGUCCCGGAGAGGGAGGUGGAAUUCCAGGUGUAGCGGUGAAAUGCGUAGAUAUCUGGAAGAACACCGGUGGCGAAGGCGGCCUCCUGGACGGUGACUGACGCUGAGACGCGAAAGCGUGGGGAGCAAACAGGAUUAGAAACCCCUGUAGUCC